rnacentral:rRNA from 1 species
UCCGUAGGUGGCAAGCGUUGUCCGGAUUUAUUGGGUUUAAAGGGUGCGUAGGCGGUCUUUUAAGUCAGUGCUGAAAUAUCCCGGCUUAACCGGGAGGGUGGCAUUGAUACUGAAGGACUUGAGUUCAGUCGAGGUAGGCGGAAUUGACGGUGUAGCGGUGAAAUGCUUAGAUAUCGUCAAGAACACCGAUAGUGUAGACAGCUUACUAGGCUGAAACUGACGCUGAGGCACGAAAGUGUGGGGAUCAAACAGG